UACGGAGGAUCCAAGCGUUAGCCGGAUUUAUUGGGUUUAAAGGGUGCGUAGGCGGAUUGAUAAGUUAGAGGUGAAAUGUCCGAGCUCAACUCGGGAACUGCCUCUAAUACUGUUGAUCUAGAGAGUAGAUGCGGUAGGCGGAAUGUAUGGUGUAGCGGUGAAAUGCUUAGAGAUCAUACAGAACACCGAUUGCGAAGGCAGCUUACCAAUCUAUAUCUGACGUUGAGGCACGAAAGCGUGGGGAGCAAACAGG
rnacentral:rRNA from 1 species